CGUAGGGUGCGAGCGUUGUCCGGAAUUACUGGGCGUAAAGAGCUCGUAGGUGGUUUGUCGCGUUGUCCGUGAAAACUCACAACUCAAUUGUGGGCGUGCGGGCGAUACGGGCAGACUGGAGUACUGCAGGGGAGACUGGAAUUCCUGGUGUAGCGGUGGAAUGCGCAGAUAUCAGGAGGAACACCGGUGGCGAAGGCGGGUCUCUGGGCAGUAACUGACGCUGAGGAGCGAAAGCGUGGGGAGCGAACAGGAUUAGAUACCCUGGUAGUCCACGCCGUAAACGGUGGGUACUAGGUGUGGGUUUCCUUCCUUGGGAUCCGUGCCGUAGCUAACGCAUUAAGUACCCCGCCUGGGGAGUACGGCCGCAAGGCUA
rnacentral:rRNA from 1 species